ACGGAGGGUGCGAGCGUUGUCCGGAAUCACUGGGCGUAAAGGGCGCGUAGGCGGCCUGAUAAGUAGGGGGUGAAAUCCUGCGGCUUAACCGCAGGGCUGCCUUCUAAACUGUCAGGCUUGAGCACAGUAGAGGCAGGUGGAAUUCCGAGUGUAGAGGUGAAAUUCGUAGAUAUUCGGAAGAACACCAGUGGCGAAGGCGACUCACUGGACAUGUAUUGACGCUGAGGUGCGAAAGCGUGGGGAGCAAACAGGA
rnacentral:rRNA from 1 species